CAUGCAAGUCGAGCGGGGGAAGGUAGCUUGCUACCGGACCUAGCGGCGGACGGGUGAGUAAUGCUUAGGAAUCUGCCUAUUAGUGGGGGACAACAUCUCGAAAGGGAUGCUAAUACCGCAUACGUCCUACGGGAGAAAGCAGGGGAUCUUCGGACCUUGCGCUAAUAGAUGAGCCUAAGUCGGAUUAGCUAGUUGGUGGGGUAAAGGCCUACCAAGGCGACGAUCUGUAGCGGGUCUGAGAGGAUGAUCCGCCACACUGGGACUGAGACACGGCCCAGACUCCUACGGGAGGCAGCAGUGGGGAAUAUUGGACAAUGGGGGGAACCCUGAUCCAGCCAUGCCGCGUGUGUGAAGAAGGCCUUAUGGUUGUAAAGCACUUUAAGCGAGGAGGAGGCUACUUUAGUUAAUACCUAGAGAUAGUGGACGUUACUCGCAGAAUAAGCACCGGCUAACUCUGUGCCAGCAGCCGCGGUAAUACAGAGGGUGCGAGCGUUAAUCGGAUUUACUGGGCGUAAAGCGUGCGUAGGCGGCUUAUUAAGUCGGAUGUGAAAUCCCCGAGCUUAACUUGGGAAUUGCAUUCGAUACUGGUGAGCUAGAGUAUGGGAGAGGAUGGUAGAAUUCCAGGUGUAGCGGUGAAAUGCGUAGAGAUCUGGAGGAAUACCGAUGGCGAAGGCAGCCAUCUGGCCUAAUACUGACGCUGAGGUACGAAAGCAUGGGGAGCAAACAGGAUUAGAUACCCUGGUAGUCCAUGCCGUAAACGAUGUCUACUAGCCGUUGGGGCCUUUGAGGCUUUAGUGGCGCAGCUAACGCGAUAAGUAGACCGCCUGGGGAGUACGGUCGCAAGACUAAAACUCAAAUGAAUUGACGGGGGCCCGCACAAGCGGUGGAGCAUGUGGUUUAAUUCGAUGCAACGCGAAGAACCUUACCUGGCCUUGACAUACUAGAAACUUUCCAGAGAUGGAUUGGUGCCUUCGGGAAUCUAGAUACAGGUGCUGCAUGGCUGUCGUCAGCUCCUGUC
rnacentral:rRNA from 1 species